AGUGUGCAUUGUCCAUGAUGCGAUAUUAACCUUCUCUUAUUGGAUUCCUUUGAUAUAGUUCGUCGAAGAAGAAAAGGACCAGGAUAUAUGUUAUGAUGAUGAAGAAGAUAGUGCUGGAAGGGAUGAAACAAUCAUGAGUGAUGUUGACUCUUUGCAUCUGCUGGAUCAGCCAGGGCACAUUGUAGAAGGAAAUGAGGAGGAAAUAAAA